GAUGGCCACCAACUUGGACAGCUUUAGGAGGACUGGGCAAAUUCAUGGAAGGUGAGGCCAGUAAUGACUGCUGGCCACAAUGGCUAUGUUCUCCCUGCAUUGUUGGAGGCCUCUGAAUACCGCUGGAUAGAGAAUCAUAGCAAACCAAGAGCUCCAAGUACCUGUGUACACCUUACAGACAGAGGGAAAGCCAGUUGGACACCUGCUCCAAAAUGAGGCUUCUUCAUUCACUUCUGCUACUACAGAAGUAGUGUCUGCUAAAGAGAUACUAAUUAGAUCUUCCUGAUCUGUGAGCUGAUUCUUCAUAUUUUGGGUCUAUUCUGGAGGGUUAUUUUAAGGGUAAAAGGGAGACCACAUCCUGAAGUGCACAGAAGAAGAGGACAAUAGAGAUGCUUUAAACAAUCCAUUUUCAUGUUGCUGUAGUUGC